rnacentral:rRNA from 1 species
UUAAAUUGAAGAGUUUGAUCAUGGCUCAGAUUGAACGCUGGCGGCAGGCCUAACACAUGCAAGUCGAACGGUAACAGGAAGCAGCUUGCUGCUUCGCUGACGAGUGGCGGACGGGUGAGUAAUGUCUGGGAAACUGCCUGAUGGAGGGGGAUAACUACUGGAAACGGUGGCUAAUACCGCAUAACGUCGCAAGACCAAAGAGGGGGACCUUCGGGCCUCUUGCCAUCAGAUGUGCCCAGAUGGGA